rnacentral:rRNA from 1 species
AUGAAGCUGAGAGUUUGAUCCUGGCUCAGGACGAACGCUGGCGGCGUGCCUAACACAUGCAAGUCGAGCGGUCCGGCACUCAACUAAGUGCUUACUUAAGGGGAAGGAAGUAUAGUAGAAGAAGAAGGUAAUAAAAGUGAAGCAAAGUAAGGUAAGCACGGAGUUGAGUGCCGGAUAGCGGCGGACGGGUGAGUAACGCGUGGGCAACCUA